GACAAUUCUGAGCGGUGGAUCACUCGGCUCGUGCGUCGAUGAAGAACGCAGCCAGCUGCGUGAAGUAAUGUGAAUUGCAGGACACAUUGAUCAUCGACACUUCGAACGCACAUGGCGGCCCCGGGUGCCUUUCCCGGGGCCACGCCUGACUGAGGGUCGUUUUCCAGUGUGCAUCGAUCG
rnacentral:rRNA from 1 species